UGGGGAAUAUUGCACAAUGGGCGCAAGCCUGAUGCAGCCAUGCCGCGUGUAUGAAGAAGGCCUUCGGGUUGUAAAGUACUUUCAGCGGGGAGGAAGGGAGUAAAGUUAAUACCUUUGCUCAUUGACGUUACCCGCAGAAGAAGCACCGGCUAACUCCGUGCCAGCAGCCGCGGUAAUACGGAGGGUGCAAGCGUUAAUCGGAAUUACUGGGCGUAAAGCGCACGCAGGCGGUUUGUUAAGUCAGAUGUGAAAUCCCCGGGCUCAACCUGGGAACUGCAUCUGAUACUGGCAAGCUUGAGUCUCGUAGAGGUGGGUAGAAUCCCAGGUGUAGCGGUGAAAUGCGUAGAGAUCUGGAGGAAUACCGGUGGCGAAGGCGGCCCCCUGGACGAAGACUGACGCUCAGGUGCGAAAGCGUGGGGAGCAAACAGG
rnacentral:rRNA from 1 species